rnacentral:rRNA from 1 species
UACGGGGGGGGCAAGCGUUGUUCGGAAUUACUGGGCGUAAAGGGCGCGUAGGCGGCGAACCAAGUCAGAUGUGAAAGUCCUGGGCUUAACCUGGGGACUGCAUUUGAUACUGGUUUGCUUGAAUUCGGGAGAGGAUAGCGGAAUUCCCAGUGUAGAGGUGAAAUUCGUAGAUAUUGGGAAGAACACCGGUGGCGAAGGCGGCUAUCUGGACCGACAUUGACGCUGAGGCGCGAAAGCGUGGGGAGCAAACAGG